GCAAUUUCAUUGGAUGCUGAGAAAGCAUUUGAUCGGGUGGAGUGGGAGUAUCUAUUUGAUGUUUUGGAAAGAUUUGGUUUGGGAUCUGUCAAAAGAGAAUAUUGUAUAAUGUGAUCAGCUAUAUGAAAUGUAUCUUUUUAUUUUAUCAUUAAGCACAUGUCUACGUGACUUUUCACCUAAUAACUUUUGACAUGAACUCUUCUGUGAUAAACAACUUGCAGCUUCCUCUUUCUGUUUUGGAAGAUACAGACUUAGAAAAGGGGAACCUCAGCUCUGAGUUCUGAGAAUAACUCUGUUAUCUUUAUACACACACACACACACACACAUACAGACACACAGAAAAGUAUAAAUAAAAAACGCAGACAGAGAUGAGGCGCAGAUCCUGCGUUUCAUGGCUGCCCUCGCGGGUUAAAGAAAAUCUGCAGUGUUUGUGUGUUUUCUAACUCAGGUGUCUCAGCUGAACAAAGAACGGCAGGGUGAUCCGGCUUGAUUCCCUCCUGUAGAUCAUGAAAUGAAAUGUACCAUUCAUCAGUGACUAACUACUUGUCUUUCACAUACUCAGUUACUACAUCAUUAGUUACACUUCAUCUUCAUCUAACAAAUAGGAAAAGAAGUCUUCAUGAUCUUCAUCGGUUUUGGUACAUCUGCGUAUGCUGUGAGUGACAAACUUAUCAUCUGUGAAAUUACAGCUUUAAACAAGGAAUAACUCAAAUAAAGAAAAAUAAAAUCAGGAAAAGUCCAACGACAAUCAACACUCUCUUUAAAACUUGUUAAAGUUGAGUGCUUCUUCCUGGAUGAGGAUGUUGAUGUUGUUGUGAACUUUACAAAAGUCAUUCUCAGGGCGUUUCCCAUAUAUGGUUGUGUUAAUACGCUCGGCAUGUGCGAGCAAACAUAACAGUCUCUCUGUGGUAUUAUUUUAUCUCUUUUAUUUUUACACAGCCCAUCUCUCACUGCUUCUGGUUUACAAGCAUCUUCCUUUUCAAAGACUUGUUUUCCCUUCACACCUUUGUGAAGUGCUUGCUUAUCCUUGAGCUACUGGGUUUCUUUUAUAUAGCAUUAAAAGGUCUUACCUCACAAUAGGAAGCAUCUUGAGAUAACUUUGUUUUAAAUUAGUACUAGAGUCAAACUGAACUGAAAUGUAUUGGUUGGUGAAAAUAAGGUGAUCCUAGGCAAUAAAGAGAAUAACAGAUAAUGAUGUGCUGUAAUUGUAAUGGAUAAUUAGAAAGAAUAACAUGGGAGAGAAUUAGUUUCUCUUGAAAAGCAGGUAAGAGUGCAGUUUAGCUGUAUAGAAGCUUUCUUAAAUAGAUCUUGACCUUUUAAGGCCAGCGCUAUAUUUGAACUGCUAAGGUGGAGUUUGUGUUUCCAACUUUAACAGCUAGCAGUCUAUAAUGAAGAUAACUAAUGAAAUAAUAGAGUUUUUCUGAAAUUAGUCACAAUAAAAUCAAACCUAAGCUAGUAAUACACACUGCUCUGCUAGCAGGACCGAGAAUAUUUCCUAGUGCUCUAAGAAAACUGUAAUUACUUGGACUUUCACUUAUAACGGAGACCAGACAUGACAUACUCUAAGAGCAGGAAAAAAGUGUGUGAGGAGUCUGGAAUAUUCUGUUGCACACAGAGCAGAACGACCGCUGUGUUUUACAUGGCGCUGUCUCGACACACACCUCAUCAAAGCUGGCUUCAAAGGGUUUCUGCUACAUGCUGAUCAAUGAAGACAAAGAGAAUGGGGAAAUAUUAGUGGAGGAUAUUGUUUUCAGGUUGCUGACAGUGUGUCUGUGUGUGUGUCUUACAAACACACAUACAUGCACACACACAAUGUAUCUUUUUCAUUGAGUGAAGUGCAGCUGAGACAUGCUGACACAGAUUUGGUUUAUAUGAUGACGUAAACUGAUGAGCUGUGGCUGUGCAUACAUGUGAUUAUUCCAGGAGACUGAAUGUAAAGACGUCUGUGAUAAUUCCUUCACUAUAAAUAAAACUCCAUUUAUAGAUUUUAAUGGAAUCUUAAGUGCCAGCUCAUUACUCUCCUUUACUUUUAUAGAGACAUAAGUACCCGGCAAGGAGACAUGGAAUUAUUUUAUUUGUAGUAAAGUUCAAAAUUAGAUUCGAGCUGAAUAUUAUCUGACAAAUGAUAUCAUUUGAAUCAGCUGAUUUGACUGGCCAGUCUUUGUGAUUUGACAGGAGGUCUGACCCCAUAAGAAGACCUCGUUGUUGGCACCGUUUCUGUCCAUGCAGGCCAGGAGGAAGUAAUACUUUUUGUUAGUAACAAAUACAGGUAAUGGACAUUAUAAGUAUUCUGAGUGGUUCCCUGUGGUGCCUCAUGUCAGGAUUUUCUUCUAUUCCAAUCGUGAUAAGCACGGAAAGACAGCUGUAGUGAUAGAUGUAGUUAUACCGAGUGACAGCGGCA
rnacentral:lncRNA from 1 species